UACGUAGGGGGCAAGCGUUGUCCGGAUUUAUUGGGCGUAAAGAGCGUGUAGGCGGUCCGGUAAGUCCGCUGUGAAAGUCGGGGGCUCAACCCUCGAAUGCCGGUGGAUACUGUCGGGCUAGAGUGCGGAAGAGGCGAGUGGAAUUCCUGGUGUAGCGGUGAAAUGCGCAGAUAUCAGGAGGAACACCUAUUGCGAAGGCAGCUCGCUGGGACGCAACUGACGCUGAGACGCGAAAGCGUGGGGAGCAAACAGG
rnacentral:rRNA from 1 species